UACGUAGGGAGCAAGCGUUGUCCGGAAUCAUUGGGCGUAAAGCGCGCGUAGGUGGCUUCGUAAGUCCGUUGUGAAAGUCAAAGGCUCAAACUUUGAAAGCCGAUGGAUACUGCGGAGCUAGAGUACGGAAGAGGCGAGUGGAAUUCCUGGUGUAGCGGUGGAAUGCGCAGAUAUCAGGAGGAACACCAAUAGCGAAGGCAGCUCGCUGGGACGUUACUGACACUGAGGCGCGAAAGCGUGGGGAGCGAACAGG
rnacentral:rRNA from 1 species